rnacentral:rRNA from 1 species
CCUACGGGUUGCAGCAGUGGGGAAUAUUGGACAAUGGGCGAAAGCCUGAUCCAGCAAUGCCGCGUGUGUGAGGAAGGUCUUCGGAUUGUAAAGCACUUUCGACGGGGACGAUGAUGACGGUACCCGUAGAAGAAGCCCCGGCUAACCUCGUGCCAGCAGCCGCGGUAAUACGAAGGGGGCUAGCGUUGCUCGGAAUGACUGGGCGUAAAGGGCGUGUAGGCGGUUUAUGCAGUCAGAUGUGAAACCCCCGGGCUUAACCUGGGAACUGCAUUUGAGACGCAUAGACUAGAGGUCGAGAGAGGGUUGUGGAAUUCCCAGUGUAGAGGUGAAAUUCGUAGAUAUUGGGAAGAACACCGGUGGCGAAGGCAGCAACCUGGCUCGAUACUGACGCUGAGGCGCGAAAGCGUGGGGAGCAAACAGGAUUCGAUACCCCAGUAGUC